rnacentral:rRNA from 1 species
UUUUAAAGUAAGAAAUUUCACACCCUGAACAAGCCCAUUUCCGUUUGAUCUCAGAAGCUAAGCAGGGUCAGGCCUGGUUAGUACUUGGAUGGGAGACCUGGUAAGAAGACCAAGUGCUGUAGGCA